GCUAGCGUUGAUAACAUCUUGAAUGCACCAGUUCUCAAGGAUCACUGAAGUUAAACAACAUUGCACGUGGUUGGUAUCCGGAUGGGAGACCAUUUGGGCAACCGCGUGCUGCUGGCU
rfam:Asian citrus Psyllid, Diaphorina citri - Florida Strain, whole genome shotgun sequence.